rnacentral:rRNA from 1 species
UGGGGAAUCUUGGACAAUGGGCGCAAGCCUGAUCCAGCCAUGCCGCGUGAGUGACGAAGGCCUUAGGGUUGUAAAGCUCUUUUGGCGGGGACGAUAAUGACGGUACCCGCAGAAUAAGCCCCGGCUAACUUCGUGCCAGCAGCCGCGGUAAUACGAAGGGGGCUAGCGUUGUUCGGAAUUACUGGGCGUAAAGCGCACGUAGGCGGAUGUGCCAGUCAGGGGUGAAAUCCCGAGGCUCAACCUCGGAACUGCCUCCGAUACAGCACGUCUCGAGUCCGGAAGAGGUGAGUGGAAUUCCUAGUGUAGAGGUGAAAUUCGUAGAUAUUAGGAAGAACACCAGUGGCGAAGGCGGCUCACUGGUCCGGUACUGACGCUGAGGUGCGAAAGCGUGGGGAGCAAACAGGAUUAGAUACCCCCGUAGUCCCUGAGCGGGCUGGCAAGGCGCAU